rnacentral:lncRNA from 1 species
AAAUCCUCAACUAAUUUCAACCUCAUCAAAACCCAACCUCCUCUUAAAAAGGUUGGGGGUGGGAGGAGUAAAUGCCAAGCCUCGGGGGUGAGAGAGAAGGGGCUGCGCCCUGGGCGCCGGGACUCCGAACCUUUCCCCACUCCCUGGAACUUCUCCAGAUCUUCUGGAUCUGAAGUUGCAGAGGUGGCUGCUCCAUUCCUCCCUCCGCUCGAGGCCUGGUCUCAUCAGGCAGGGGCCAAACGCGCCCCCCGACCCCCCGACCCCGCUCGGGGCCCUCCGCACAACACAGUGCGGGGGUGGGGAGGCAGGGUAGGGACACGCUUUCCCCUCCCCAUUCAGUCGUAAUCCAGGGCCGCCGCGGCCUCGGCGGUACAUUCGCCACGCCGGCCGCGUGUCUGGAAUCCCCGGGACACCUCGGAAUUACCUGCCCCGCACCGCCGGCCGCUCGCCUCCUGCCAGGAGUUAAACAAAUGGCGCGAUCCCCACGGCGUGCUGGCAGAGGGGACCGCAGCGAGCGCAGGGCCCCUCACACUCCAUUCAAAGCUCUCCUUAAAAGCCUGCCAAGCACCGCAAGGGUCGCCACCAGCGCAGCGACAAGAGGCCGCACGGGGACCACGACUCCCGCGUGUGCGCACACGCAGAUGAGCCCCACGUGCACACUGUGGGGCGCGCUGCGGGGCCCGGCGCUGCUCACCGCGGGGUGUGCGUUCUAACUCGGAUACUGCAAAUUAAUAAAAGUAAACUGGGAAGCUAAACGCCAACGUGCGUCCUUGUGGGGCUCCAAGCCCGUGCACUGGCCGCCUGCGUGCACUCCUCUAAGUGUGCAUAACACCCCCGCAGGGGAGGGGGUUCCAGCAAGAAGCCUGCGUUAACAUUGAUCUCGUGGUGGAGAAGGUGGAGGCCACACCCACACCUCCGCGAGCUGGAGAGUGAGCUCCGGUGGGGAAAUGAACGUGGGGCACGGAAGCACAGUGUCCCGCAUGGAGUCCCCCCCGAGGCAGUGCAUUUUAAACUCUAAAGGGUAGAUUAUUCUCUGAGGGUCCGAGCGGAGUUUAUAUUCCGCUUUAAGGAGCCUGAUGAGUGCGUGGGUGUUUGCGCGCACGGCUGUGUGGGAGCAGCACCGGAUCUUAGUGUUGGGGGGUGUCCCUGGUAUGGGAUGUCCUUCCCUCGCCAGAUUAGGAGAGAGUCCUCUAACUCCCCAGGACUGGUCCCCAUCCCUAGCCCGCCUCGGGUCGUAAGGGGUUAACUACAGCCGAUUCCGAAGACGUACACCCCCCACCACAGUCACCUCCACCCACACCCCCGCUUCCGACCCCGGCCAAGCUCCCGAAUCUCCCCCGGGGACCCCCCACCCCGCAGCCCACCCACCCGACCGCACUGCUCCUCACCUGAGGGGCCCGGCCGCGUCGGGCCUCCGGGGAGGGCUGCGAGUGUCUGUGCGACCUCCGCACGUGUCCACCGCGCGCCGAGCAGGUAACCGGCUCGGAGGAAGGAGGUAGCGGCGCUCUCUCCCGCGAAGGGGUGGGCACAGCGGCGGAGGGCGGAGGGACGGCGGAGGCACGGCGGAGGGCGCCGCCCGCGCCGCACGCUGGGGGCGGCCGGGGGCUGCGGGGCGCGGGCCGGGGCUCGGGGCGAGCCGGGGCGGGGGCGCCCCCCCCCCCAGGCCGACUCUGCCCGAGACCCACCCGGAGGCGGCGACGGGGCUAGGGGCUCGCUGCGCCGAGGCAAGCAAGUGUGCAAAUUAAAGCCUUCCGGAGAGAGGGGAGGCGGCGAGCCCGGCUGUGCUCCGGGUCUCCACUCCCCAACGCUCGGCUCCGAGUGGGGGGCGGGAGGGCGGCGGGGGGGGGGGGCAGUUAAAUGAAAAUUUCCGGCUUUCGCUGCAACUGGAGCGAGGGAUCUUGCAACUAAAAUACGAGGCGUGAGAGGGAGAGUGGGACGUGUCGUCGGGAGUCCGCGGAGUUUCCAAACCCAGGGUCGCCGGGAGUUGGGGUUUUGACAGAGUGAGGCGGGGGGACCAGCAGGCUGUGAUGUGGCCGGGUGGGAAAAACACAAAACAACCAACCAUAAUUAUGAGGGGCCGGUGGGGGUGGGAAAGACCAACACUUUCCAAGAAACUGAAAAAUCAGACCAAAAAAAUAACUCUUCUCUAUUUAAAAAAAAAAAAAAAAAAAAAGUCUGGCAGGGCGCCUUGCAGAAAAGAAAAUACUAAUCUGUCCAAGCACUUUUCACUUUCAGCAUGAGCUACAUUUGUUUUGUUUUCCUUCGCUUCCUUUCGGCCUCACAAAGCCCUAUCUUUUCCUUUUGGACAGAGGAUAGGAUUUGGAAAUUGUCAGGCACUCUGUGGUUAACGACGUACUUGAAGGGGCUCGCGGGUUCACAAUUAUUAAGUGGUUAGCAAUUGCUAAGGGUUCACUAAGGUGUUUCUGGGGAGCUAAAAAGACUAAAAUUUAAUAUAAAUAUCAGAACUGCAAGAUAAUGGAUACACACACACACACACACCCCAAACAAAGAGAAGAGAACGUGAUUCAGUGGGUGCUCAGUUUAAAUGCAUUAUUGGAAUUCUGAAAUUUGAAACCUUGUAAGAAUGUAUACUUUACCUGCUGAGAAAACCUGAAUACAAUUAUUGCAGGUGAAAAUGAGAUUUUUGACAAAAAAAAAAGCCCUCAAGACCCUGCAAAGGAGUAAAUCCUCCCCCCAAAAAAGCUGUUUUUGUUUUUUUUUUUUUGUUUUUUUAAGAAUCCAGUGUUCUCUAAAGUCUGUAUCUGUAGAAUACUUGAAACCCUUUUAAACAUCUUAAAGCAAAGUUAAAACAUUUAUUUAUUUCAGAUCUCUAGAAGAACUGAAAUCCAGCGAAAUACUGUUUGAAUUGGAAAUAUUAACCUCAAUAAAUUUUUUGACUUUUUGAAUUAAACCAUGUUGCCCAAUGUCAGAGUAAAUCAAAAUUUCGCCCUUAUAAAAUUAAUUCCAACUACAGUGUGAAGUAACAGGUUAGGCAAAUUAAAAUUUUUGCAUUUUCAUUAGGAAAUAUUUUAUAAUACAUUAUAGUAAUUUGUUCUUGAAUGAUAAAAGUGGAUAUUUGUGUUUUUUUAUGCUUAAGAUAAUUCAUAAAAUACAUUUUGUGUUUAGAAGCAUGUCUUCUAAAAUUCAAUUUCUGAACAAAAUUUGUAAAGGUAUCUAUAAACUCAUAAACCAUAUAGACUUAAGAAAACAAAUUUAGAUUUUGUAUUUAUGAAAAAUAUUGGUUCAGUACAAAUCACUAAUUAGACUUUAAACCAGAGAUGCAAAUGAGACUCUUACAUUUUUUAUAAUUGCUACAUUUAUCAAUGAUUUUUAAAACAAGAUUUACUUGCUGGUGAUUUACACAUUUAUGUAAUUUAGAAAUAAUUGUCAAUAAAUAGUCAUAGGAACCAGCAAAUGACUGCAAGAAUUUAUUUGGGUAAAUAAUUUGUUUAAAAAAUAGUAAGCCAUAAAUGUCUUUAAAAUUAACAGAAAAGUGUCUUUUCUACACUGGGUUGCAUUUUUAACUACUGAAUUUGACAACAACCAAAGAUAGAUUUGAGAUUCCAUGAUUUAGAUCACUAGAUCACUUGUACAAGGUAAAAAAAAAAAAAAAGAAAAGAAAAGAAAAAAGUUUUUAAUGAUAUAUGCUGAGUGUUAACUCUUUUUAUGUCAUCUGCUUUCUCUGAUACUGUUAAUUUAUCACUGUUCACUAUCUCUGGUUAUGGUUCAUAUGAAAUCCCAGUUGGCUAAAGCCUUAGACCAGGAAGUUUUACAGUGGAUUGUGUAAAAUUAGUAAAUACCAGAUUGUUUUUGUUUAUGGAUAACUUCCUCUGUAGGUAACAGGUUAUCAUAACAAAAUUUGUGCAAAGUUUAUAAACUGUGAACCAAAUUCCGACUCCUUUGUUUAGGAGUCUUUUAUGAAUGAAUACAGAGCAUUCAAGAAUAAUGAUUUGCAUCCCACAUAUCUGAUAUCCUAAAUUUGCAAAUCAUCGUACAGGGUUUUAAAAAUUACACCUCAUGGAUUUAUCUUCAAAUAUGAUAUUGUAGCUUGUACUGAAAGUUUUUCUAGUGCCAUAUAAGAAGUGCAUUCUAUAUGUGAACACUUUAUAUCAAUAUCUAUAAACUAUGUUUUUCUCUAAAAUAAAAAUAAAAUUUAAAGUUCUAGUCUAUGAUUUGUAAUCUUGUUUAAGGAAUGAGUAACUUAUUUAAAAUUAGUAAUUUUAUAAUGUACAUCUAAUUCUCAACCAUCUCUGAUUUAUAUUGGCUAUUUGAAUUUAUGAAACACAUUUUCCAGAAACUCGGAAAUAAGGUUUUGCUAUAUACUACCCAGUAAUUUUGAUUGGCGGUCCAUGUAAAUGUAUCCUUUUAGUGUGUAAAGAUCUCCUGUUUAUUGCUCUGAUUAAAAAACAAAAACAAAAAAAAAACAACUUCUCUGGUUUAAUAACUUUAAAAUCAGUUACCCUUAUCUUUAACUUGAUUUAUAUGAGUAUGUAAAUAUUAUCAUUGUUGAGUAAUUACUAUGAAAAACUUUAACUUUAACAAAAAUAGUAUAAUGUAAUGCAGUACAUUUUAAUGCAUUCUUUCUUCCUCAGGCAUUUCCAAGAUAUUUUCUUAGGUUUUCCCUUAAAAUAUUGAAAAUUUACUAAAUAUAUUAGGAAAACUCAAUUGUACUACCAACUUUUUGAAUUGUAAAAUUUUCAUUUAAAUGAUUUUUUAAAUUCAAUCUUCUAAAUAAAUUACUUCCUGUCAAUUUCGAAAUGACCUGGGGUUUUCUCUUUUUUUGUUGCAUGUGAUUUAGUGUAUUACAUUGAGGCAGUGAAACUUGCAAAGAUGUUGAUACUUGCCUGAGGGGAAAAAGUAUAUCAGGUGGUAGCUUAUAAAUUUAAGAAGAAAAAACAAGACAUUAUUAUUUUUUUGAAACUUUCCGUUUUCAUGGGUUCUAGUGCUCUAUAAUUAUCCCUGUGCUCCCUGUACAACAUGUCAGUACUAUGUUCAUAUUUGUAUAAUUGUCAUCAUAUUUCCUUUUUUCCCCUUUUGAUAGACAUUCCUAUAUCUUCUUUUUGCUUAGUGUGUGUGUGAAUACUUGUAUGUUCUUAGCAUACCGUCGUGACAUGUUCAAAAUGUGUUCUUAAGUUCCUUUCAUCAUCUAUAUUAGUAUUCUGAAUAGUCAGAAAAAUAACCGUGGAAAUAUAAAAGAUGAUGAUAAUCACAUUGAAACACCUACAUUUCCUUUCGAUGUAUAGCGUCCUAUCGUUUUCACUGACUUCUAACAUUUCUUUUCUAAGAUAAUACUUGCAUCUUAACUGUACACAUGGCCUAACAAUUGUGUCGCCAUAGCUGCCUUUGGUUGAGCUAAACGGUGCACUCACGUUUUAGAUAGACUGUUCAGAUGAAGCAGAGAAGGUAGGACACAGUCAGUGGCGGUAAAUCAUGAUAAAGUGCGAUCUGGGAGGUAGGAGGAAGGACAAAGGAAGUCACCUAGGAGAAACUUCUGUGAAUGGCCUGACAGCAGGGGCAAGUAAAGGAAAUACUGCCUGGAACCAAGGUCCUGGAACCAAGAGAUGCAGCCUCACGGCUCUAAUAUAGAGGAUCCAUGCAACCUAAUUCUUCUAGAAUGAACACCUAUUGUGCA